rnacentral:rRNA from 1 species
UACGUAGGGGCCAAGCGUUGUCCGGAUUUAUUGGGCGUAAAGAGCUCGUAGGCGGUUCGGCAAGUCAGCUGUGAAAUCUCCACGCUCAACGUGGAGGGGUCAGCUGAUACUGCUGUGACUCGAGUCCGGUAGGGGAGUGUGGAAUUCCCGGUGUAGCGGUGAAAUGCGCAGAUAUCAGGAAGAACACCCGUGGCGAAGGCGGCUCUCUGGGACGGUACUGACGCUGAAGCACGAAAGCGUGGGGAGCAAACAGG